CACGUAGGGCGCGAGCGUUUGUCCGGAAUUAUUGGGCGUAAAGAGCUCGUAGGCGGCCUGUUGCGUCCGCUGUGAAAGCCCGGGGCUUAACCCCGGGUCGGCAGUGGAUACGGGCAGGCUAGAGGUAGGUAGGGGAGAAUGGAAUUCCCGGUGUAGCGGUGAAAUGCGCAGAUAUCAGGAGGAACACCGGUGGCGAAGGCGGGUCUCUGGGCCGUAACUGACGCUGAGGAGCGAAAGCGUGGGGAGCAAACAGG
rnacentral:rRNA from 1 species